rnacentral:misc_RNA from 1 species
GAUGAAGAACGUAGCGAAAUGCGAUAAGUAAUGUGAAUUGCAGAAUUCAGUGAAUCAUCGAAUCUUUGAACGCACAUUGCGCCCCUUGGUAUUCCGAGGGGCAUGCCUGUUCGAGCGUCAUAUUAACCACUCCCGCUUGCGGGGUCUUGGGCUUCGCCUCCGGGCGGGCCUUAAAAUCAGUGGCGGUGCCGUCGGGCUCUACGCGUAGUAAAUUUUCUCGCGAUAGGGUCCCGGUGGAUGCUUGCCAACAACCCCCAACUUCUUAAGGUUGACCUCGGAUCAGGUAGGGAUACCCGCUGAACUUAAGCAUAUCAAUAGCGAGGA